CCUACGGGUGGCUGCAGUCGAGAAUCAUUCACAAUGGGGGAAACCCUGAUGGUGCCACGCCGCGUGGGGGAAUGAAGGUCUUCGGAUUGUAAACCCCUGUCAUGUGGGAGCAAAUUAAAAAGAUAGUACCACAAUAGGAAGAGACGGCUAACUCUGUGCCAGCAGCCGCGGUAAUACAGAGGUCUCAAGCGUUGUGCGGAAUCACUGGGCGUAAGGCGUGCGUAGGCGGUUUCGUAAGUCGUGUGUGAAAGGCGCGGGCUCAACCCGCGGACGGCACCUGUUACUGCGAGACUAGAGUAGUCGAGGGGGAACCGGAAGUCUCGGUGUAGCAGUGAAAUGCGUAGAUAUCGAGAGGAACACUCGUGGCGAAGGCGGGUUCCUGGACAUUAACUGACGCUGAGGCACGAAGGCCAGGGGAGCGAAAGGGAUUAGAUACCCCUGUAGUC
rnacentral:rRNA from 1 species